AACGAACGCUGGCGGCAGGCUUAACACAUGCAAGUCGAACGGUUGUAGCAAUACAGCAGUGGCGCACGGGUGAGUAACGCGUGGAUAUCUGCCUUUUGGUUCGGAAUAACCCCGGGAAACUGGGGCUAAUACCGGAUGGUUCCUUCGGGAUAAAGAUUUAUCGCCAAAAGAUGAGUCCGCGUACGAUUAGCUAGUUGGUGAGGUAAUGGCUCACCAAGGCGACGAUCGUUAGCUGGUCUGAGAGGACGAUCAGCCACACUGGGACUGAGACACGGCCCAGACUCCUACGGGAGGCAGCAGUGGGGAAUAUUGGACAAUGGGGGCAACCCUGAUCCAGCCAUGCCGCGUGAGUGAUGAAGGCCUUCGGGUUGUAAAGCUCUUUUGGCGGGGACGAUGAUGACGGUACCCGCAGAAUAAGCCCCGGCUAACUUCGUGCCAGCAGCCGCAGUAA
rnacentral:rRNA from 1 species